rnacentral:rRNA from 1 species
ACAGAGGUCUCGAGCGUUAGGCGGAAUCACUGGGCUUAAAGCGUGUGUAGGCGGAUCGGUAAGUACCUUGUGAAAUCCCACGGCUUAACCGUGGAACUGCUUGGUAUACUGCCAGUCUUGAGCCAGCUAGGGGCUACCGGAACAAAUGGUGGAGCGGUGAAAUGCGUAGAUAUCUGGAGGAACACCGGUGGCGAAGGCGG